UGUUGCCUCGGCGGGGUCACGCCCCGGGUGCGUCGCAGCCCCGGAACCAGGCGCCCGCCGGAGGGACCAACCAAACUCUUUCUGUAGUCCCCUCGCGGACGUUAUUUCUUACAGCUCUGAGCAAAAAUUCAAAAUGAAUCAAAACUUUCAACAACGGAUCUCUUGGUUCUGGCAUCGAUGAAGAACGCAGCGAAAUGCGAUAAGUAAUGUGAAUUGCAGAAUUCAGUGAAUCAUCGAAUCUUUGAACGCACAUUGCGCCCGCCAGUAUUCUGGCGGGCAUGCCUGUCCGAGCGUCAUUUCAACCCUCGAACCCCUCCGGGGGGUCGGCGUUGGGGAUCGGGAACCCCUAAGACGGGAUCCCGGCCCCGAAAUACAGUGGCGGUCUCGCCGCAGCCUCUCCUGCGCAGUAGUUUGCACAACUCGCACCGGGAGCGCGGCGCGUCCACGUCCGUAAAACACCCAACUUCUGAAAUGUUGACCUCGGAUCAGGUAGGAAUACCCGCUGAACUUAAGCA
rnacentral:rRNA from 1 species